rnacentral:rRNA from 1 species
UACGAAGGGGCUAGCGUUGCUCGGAAUUACUGGGCGUAAAGCGCACGUAGGCGGCUCUUUAAGUCGGGGGUGAAAUCCUGGAGCUCAACUCCAGAACUGCCUUUCGAUACUGUAGAGCUUGAGUUCGGGAGAGGUGAGUGGAACUGCGAGUGUAGAGGUGAAAUUUCGUAGAUAUUUCGCAAGAACACCAGUGGCGAAGGCGGCUCCACUGGCCGGUACUGACGCUGAGGUGCGAAAGCGUGGGGAGCAAACAGG